CAGCCGCCACGGGAAUACGUAGGGUGCAAGCGUUAAUCGGAAUUACUGGGCGUAAAGCGUGCGCAGGCGGUUAUAUAAGACAGAUGUGAAAUCCCCGGGCUCAACCUGGGAACUGCAUUUGUGACUGUAUAGCUAGAGUACGGCAGAGGGGGAUGGAAUUCCGCGUGUAGCAGUGAAUUGCGUAGAUAUGCGGAGGAACACCGAUGGCGAAGGCAAUCCCCUGGGCCUGUACUGACGCUCAUGCACGAAAGCGUGGGGAGCAAACAGGAUUAGAUACCCGGGUAGUCCCUGUCUCUUAUAC
rnacentral:rRNA from 1 species